GUUGAUUAGAUACCCCGGUAGUCCACGCCCUAAACGAUGUCAACUGGUUGUUGGGAGGGUUUCUUCUCAGUAACGAAGCUAACGCGUGAAGUUGACCGCCUGGGGAGUACGGCCGCAAGGUUGAAACUCAAAGGAAUUUACGGGGACCCGCACAAGCGGUGGAUGAUGUGGUUUAAUUCGAUGCAACGCGAAAAACCUUACCUACCCUUGACAUGCCAGGAACUUGCCAGAGAUGGCUUGGUGCUCGAAAGAGAACCUGGACACAGGUGCUGCACGGUCGUCGUCAACU
rnacentral:rRNA from 1 species